CGCACACUCACGCACACCCUUAAUUUAAUCGUCUGUCACCGGGGCGAUGUUGUGCUGGUCGCGCCGACUUAUUCCAAUAUAGGUCGUGUUUAAGGACGGUCUGGAAACUCGUCGAAGGAAAAAAUAUACAAUCGUGGAUUCGAUGUCAACAAAUGUUUCGAACUAUGACAAUGAAAAUAAUUACUGAAUAAAAAUGUCUCCGAACUCUGCUUAAAAGCAAAUGCGCUGAUUGUCUUACUCGACACGGUACGCUUGAACUAUUGAAUCACGUUUGUCUAUGCUUCGGCAAUCCAAAAGAGAAACGAACAACAAACCGGCUAUGCGUCGGUUAUAUUGCUGUUGCUUGUAUUGUCGUUUGAUUUCUGGAUUGUCUGCAGGUAUACCGGCCACGGGUUACCCAUAUAGACUACGAGGGGAAAAAAAACACGGCCCGUACUGUGACCAAUAACCUGUAUUACGCCUCAGUUCGCCGAAUUCCGCUCAUUAUCGUUUCUUUCCGGUGAACUAAGUGAAUGACAGUGCCCUGUACACUACCCGCGUACAUAAUACAACUACAGCUAAGCAGUGGCCAAAGCGCGAACUAUUUCCGGCCCCGUGCACGUUAUUACGCGGAUAAUAGCGUGCGCAAACCGUAGCACGUCGAAUAACACGUGAGGGGAAACAAUUUGAAAAAAAAUUAAAAUUACUUUCACACGUCAUUACCGACGCGGCCUGGAACAUUUUUUUUU